rnacentral:rRNA from 1 species
AGAGUUUGAUCCUGGCUCAGAAUCAACGCUGGCGGCGCGCUUAACACAUGCAAGUCGCACGAGAAAGGGGCAACCUGAGUAAAGUGGCGUACGGGUGAGUAACACGUGGAUCAUCUACCUCUUAGUGGGGAAUAACUCUGGGAAACCGGAGCUAAUACCGCAUAAGCCUGGGAAGGGAAAGCAGCAAUGCGCUGAGAGAG